rnacentral:rRNA from 1 species
AGAGUUUGAUCAUGGCUCAGAAUCAACGCUGGCGGCGUGCCUAACACAUGCAAGUCGAACGCGAAAGCCCCGCAAGGGGCAAGUAGAGUGGCGCACGGGUGAGUAACACGUGGAUAACCUGCCUUCGAGUGAGGAAUAACCUUCCGAAAGGAGGGCUAAUACCGCAUAACACCUUGAGACAAAAGUUUUGAGGUUAAAAGGGGCAAUUCGCUGAAAGAGGGGUCCGCGCCUGAUUAGCUAGUUGGUGAGGUAACGGCUCACCAAGGCUGUGAUCAGUAGCCGUCCUGAGAGGGAGCACGGCCACACUGGAACUGAGACACGGUCCAGACUCCUACGGGAGGCAGCAGUGGGGAAUUUUUGGCAAUAGGCGCAAGCCUGACCAAGCAACGCCGCGUGGGUGAUGAAGUAUUUUGGUACGUAAAACCCUUUCGGCAGGAACGAACACAAUGACGGUACCUGCGAAGAAGCC